ensembl:snRNA U4 U4 spliceosomal RNA
AACUUUGAACAGUGGCAUCAUCAUAGCCAAUGAGGUCAAUCCGAUUCAUGAUUAUUGCUAAUUGAAAACUUGUCCCAAUACCCCGCCAUGAUGACUUGAAAUAUAGUCGGCAUUGGCAAUUUUUGACAGUCUCUACAGAGG